rnacentral:rRNA from 1 species
GCUAGCUACAGGCUUAACACAUGCAAGUCGAGGGGCAGCAUGGUCUUAGCUUGCUAAGGCCGAUGGCGACCGGCGCACGGGUGAGUAACACGUAUCCAACCUGCCGUCUACUCUUGGACAGCCUUCUGAAAGGAAGAUUAAUACAAGAUGGCAUCAUGAGUCCACAUGUUCACAUGAUUAAAGGUAUUCCGGUAGACGAUGGGGAUGCGUUCCAUUAGAUAGUAGGCGGGGUAACGGCCCACCUAGUCUUCGAUGGAUAGGGGUUCUGAGAGGAAGGUCCCCCACAUUGGAACUGAGACACGGUCCAAACUCCUACGGGAGGCAGCAGUGAGGAAUAUUGGUCAAUGGGCGAGAGCCUGAACCAGCCAAGUAGCGUGAAGGAUGACUGCCCUAUGGGUUGUAAACUUCUUUUAUAAAGGAAUAAAGUCGGGUAUGUAUACCCGUUUGCAUGUACUUUAUGAAUAAGGAUCGGCUAACUCCGUGCCAGCAGCCGCGGUAAUACGGAGGAUCCGAGCGUUAUCCGGAUUUAUUGGGUUUAAAGGGAGCGUAGAUGGAUGUUUAAGUCAGUUGUGAAAGUUUGCGGCUCAACCGUAAAAUUGCAGUUGAUACUGGAUAUCUUGAGUGCCGUUGAGGCAGGCGGAAUUCGUGGUGUAGCGGUGAAAUGCUUAGACAUCACGAAGAACUCCGAUUGCGAAGGCAGCCUGCUAAG